CACGUAGGCGGCUCGGUAAGUUGGAUGUGAAAGCCCCUGGCUCAACCAGGGAAUUGCAUUCAAUACUGCCGAGCUUGAGACCGGUAGGGGAGUGUGGAACUUCUAGUGUAGCGGUGAAAUGCGUAGAUAUUAGAAGGAACGCCGGUGGCGAAAGCGACACUCUGGACCGGUUCUGACGCUGAGGUGCGAAAGCUAGGGGAGCAAACA
rnacentral:rRNA from 1 species